rnacentral:rRNA from 1 species
UACGUAGGGUGCAAGCGUUAAUCGGAAUUACUGGGCGUAAAGCGUGCGCAGGCGGUUUUGUAAGUCUGUCGUGAAAUCCCCGGGCUCAACCUGGGAAUUGCGAUGGAGACUGCAAGGCUAGAAUCUGGCAGAGGGGGGUAGAAUUCCACGUGUAGCAGUGAAACGCGUAGAGAUGUGGAGGAACACCGAUGGCGAAGGCAGCCCCCUGGGUCAAGAUUGACGCUACAUGCACGAAAGGCGUGGGGAGCAAACGAGG